rnacentral:rRNA from 1 species
GAUGAACGCUGGCGGCGUGCCUAAUACAUGCAAGUCGAGCGAACAGACGAGGAGCUUGCUCCUCUGACGUUAGCGGCGGACGGGUGAGUAACACGUGGAUAACCUACCUAUAAGACUGGGAUAACUUCGGGAAACCGGAGCUAAUACCGGAUAAUAUAUUGAACCGCAUGGUUCAAUAGUGAAAGACGGUUUUGCUGUCACUUAUAGAUGGAUCCGCGCCGCAUUAGCUAGUUGGUAAGGUAACGGCUUACCAAGGCAACGAUGCGUAGCCGACCUGAGAGGGUGAUAGGCCACACUGGAACUGAGACACGGUCAAGACUCCUACGGGAGGCAGCAGUAGGGAAUCUUCCGCAAUGGGCGAAAGCUUGACGGAGCAACGCCGCGUGAGUGAUGAAGGUCUUCGGAUCGUAAAACUCUGUUAUUAGGGAAGAACAAAUGUGUAAGUAACUAUGCACGUCUUGACGGUACCUAAUCAGAAAGCCACGGCUAACUACGUG